GAUUAAGAGUAAAUCAUAAACGUUUUGUAUAUAAAACACAUUGCUGGCAUAUAAGUUUUUCUAUAUCUUUUCCGUAUGGGUUUUGCUGCUCAAACCUAACAAUUCUCAUUUUGGUAGAUUGUGGUCGUCUUAAAUAUCCAUAUAAUGUCAUGUCUCAUGACCGGUCUCAUUAACAGUGGUCUUCUGUCACCACUGUAUCCCCAAAUUAUUGUUUCUAUCUUUUUGUUGCAUAGCUUUAGCUCACUUCAUCAUCCUAGGUAUGCCACAGCUAUCCCCCCCCCCUCCUCUCCAUCUCUCCAUCUCUCCAUUUGAAACUCCAAAUAUAUGCCUAAAGUGUCCCCUCUUCUUUCUCCUUAUGCAGAUGUCCUGGCUCUCAACAAAGGCACCAAGCCUUUGCAUUCCCAUAAGCCUGACUUCCUGAUGUCCACUACACUCUGUUCUCAAUCUUCUCCAGUCUUUUGCAAACUGUGAUGUUCAGAUGUCCUAUAAGCCUGACUUCCUGAUGUCCACUACACUCCGUUCUCAACCUUCUCCGGUAUUCUGCAAACUGUGAAUGCCUCCUUGUGUUGGAUUCAUGAUGUUCACCAUACUGCACGGCCUACUUUUUUUCUUCGCAAGCUAUGGAAAGAAACUCUGUUCAGCUCAUGAAACGGACUGUUCACAUUUUUGGACUUUUGUGGAGGAAGCAGGGUAUCCUGGUAAUUUUAUUUUGCAGCUACUAUGCUCUCGUCAUAGAUACCUUGCAUCCUACCCAGUGAGUACAUUAUACGAUUUUGAUUUCCAGUAUCUGAUGGACAUUUUGACUCUCAUGUUGAAAUAUGAUUAUUUUAUCAUAUUUUCUCAUUACAACCUACAAUUUGUAUAUAUAGGCCCAACAAAGAGAGAAAUCUGAACUGGCAAAGCUGCUCUAUAUGCAUCACAGGUCGAUAUUGUUGACCUUCACAAAUGACUUCCGUCAGUCAGUUUCAGUUGUACAUUUAGAUAAUUCCAAACAUUGAUGUCAACACACUGCUGUUCUUGUACCUAAUAAUAACUUUGAGUUAGUCAUGGCAAAAUGUGUGCAAAAUAUGUGAUGGUUGACUUCAGAGUAAACACUCAUUUUUGACAAAACCCUUCACAUUGAACUUGUAGUAGAGUUGUUUGCAUUAAUUGAACAGGCCAUCUUUGUUUUUUGUAUGUGAAGGUCAUUAACAAGGAAUAAAAUGAUUGUUUUCAUAUUAAACACCUUUGUUAUUCAUUUUGCUUAGUAAGACUUGAGACAAAUGUUAAGUCAACUUGAAUUCAUGGUUAUUAUGGCAAUGGUAUGUUUGGUGAACUGUGCUUUUUUAAAUUCCUUUUUACUGUUCAAAGCGCAGUUUGUUGCACUGUAUUUAUUACCGACAUGUUAUGCCAGCCGAUACAACCAGAUUGUAUUUGACCGUAUUCAUAGAGUGCAUGAGUGAGUGUCACGUUGUCCCGGUAACGCGAUUU